rnacentral:tRNA from 1 species
GCACCUAUCGUCUAUCGGUUAGGAUACUAGACUUUCAAUCUGGAGAGACGGGUUCGACUCCCGUUAGGUGUACCA